rnacentral:rRNA from 1 species
UACGUAGGGUGCGAGCGUUGUCCGGAAUUAUUGGGCGUAAAGAGCGCGUAGGCGGUCCGAUAAGUCGGCUGUGAAAGUCCAGGGCUCAACCCUGGAAAGCCGGCCGAUACUGUCGGACUAGAGUCCGGAAGAGGCAAGUGGAAUUCCCGGUGUAGCGGUGAAAUGCGCAGAUAUCGGGAGGAACACCAAUGGCGAAGGCAGCUUGCUGGGACGGUACUGACGCUGAGGCGCGAAAGCGUGGGGAGCGAACAGG